rnacentral:lncRNA from 1 species
GCCGGGCUCUGCCGGCACCUCCGCGUGUCUGUGCGCGGUCACUACCGCGCCUCGGCUCCUCGCACCGCACCGGCUCGCACCGCCGCGGCAAUCGGCCGAGGCCGCCACCCGGCUCCCGGCGUUCGAGGCUUCUGUCACCUGACGGCGACAGCUUCCCCUCCUCCGCGUCUCCCCCGGCACCACCCCAGCACCGCUGUUACUUUCUCCUUCUUUCCUCCGCGCCGCGACGCGAGGCCGCAGCGGGGCGAGCAGCCCUCCGGUACUUGCGGCAGGAACCCGACCCUACGUUUUGAAGGAGGCGGCCGCUCGCCGAGCGCAGAUGGAGCAGAACUCCACCGACACCUGAUCCCGCUCCACGUGCAGGCAGAUCCCGCCGGGGGCCGCCCACUCCUCCUCGGGCUCCGCGGCCGGCGCCCGCUCCGGGCCGGGCGGCCGAGCGCUGGGCAGCGCGUAGUCGUGGUCGCCGCUGUCGCCGCCGGCCCGGAGGGGCUGCUCCUGCUGCUGCUGCUGCUCCUGCUGCUGGCGGCGGGCGUCCCUGAAGAGGCUGGUGCCGAGGCGCAGCCCGCCGGCCCGCGUCCCGGCCAAGCGGCUCAGGAGCUGCCCCAGCGCGCUCUGGUUGGCCAGCACGGCCCGCAGGUAGCCGCUCUCCCGCUCCAGCUCCCGCAGGCGGCGGCUGAGGCCGCGGUUGCGGUCCCGCAGCUGCCGGUUCUCGGCAGCCAGGCCCUGCAGGCGGCUCUCCAGCCCCAGCACGUACUGCUUCUUCUUCAGCCGGUUCAGCCGCGCCGCCGCCGCCGCCUUCAGCCUGCUGCCGGCCCCGCCGCUCCGCCUGCGGCCCUGCCCCGAGCCGGGCAGCGCGCCCGCUUCUCCGCAGAAACAGCCGCUCAGCUCCGCGCCCGCGUCCCACUCCGGCCGGGCCGCCUCCAGCAGGUCUCCCAGCUCCAGCCCGGGGAACCAGUCCUCUUGCUCCCACACUUCCAGCGGGCCUUCGGCCGCCUCCGCCUCCUUCUCCGGCUGCUGUUGUUUGGGCCGCGCCGCGCCCGGAUCCCCUUCCCCGCCGCCAUCCCGCCCUCUCGGGGCCUGCCCCGCGCCGGCGAGAGGCCGCACGGCGCCCGAGGGGCUCGCUCCGCCCGAGGAGGCCGCCAGCAGCUGGGUGAGGCUGUGCCGCAUGGCGGCCGACGGACGGAGGAGGGGGCGGCGGCGGCGGCGGCCGCGGGGCCCCAGGAGAGCGGCGCGGAGCGGCGGUGCCGCGGUGCGUGUCGGGAAGCGGCGGACGUGAGGGGAUCCGGGGGCGGGGGGGCGAGGAGGGGGCGGCGGGGGAUGGCUGCUGCUGCGGCUGCGCCCGCGCGCGGGAAAAGCGCGUCUGUGGGGGAGAGGGGUCGGUGUGUGGGGACCUGA